GAUGAACGCUAGCGGCAGGCUUAAUACAUGCAAGUCGAGGGACAGCACAGGUAGCAAUACUGGGUGGUAACCGGCAAACGGGUGCGGAACGCGUACACAACCUUCCUUUAAGUGGGGGAUAGCCCAGAGAAAUUUGGAUUAAUACCCCGUAAUAUAGUUGAAUGGCAUCAUUUGAUUAUUAUAGCUACGGCGCUUAAUGAUGGGUGUGCGGCUGAUUAGAUAGUUGGCGGGGUAACGGCCCACCAAGUCUACGGUCAGUAGCUGAUGUGAGAGCAUGAUCAGCCACACGGGCACUGAGACACGGGCCCGACUCCUACGGGAGGCAGCAGUAAGGAAUAUUGGUCAAUGGACGCAAGUCUGAACCAGCCAUGCCGCGUGAAGGAUUAAGGUCCUCUGGAUUGUAAACUUCUUUUAUUUGGGACGAAAAAGGGCCUUUCUAGGUCAACUGACGGUACCAGAUGAAUAAGCACCGGCUAACUCCGUGCCAGCCGCCGCCGUAAUAC
rnacentral:rRNA from 1 species